GAGUUUGAUCCUGGCUCAGAAUCAACGCUGGCGGCGUGCCUAACACAUGCAAGUCGAACGAGAAUGUGUAGCAAUACACAUGUACAGUGGCGAACGGGUGAGGAAUACAUGGGUAACCUACCCUCGAGUGGGGAAUAACUAGCCGAAAGGUUAGCUAAUACCGCGUACGCUUCCCGGACUGCGGUUCGGGAAGGAAAGCGAUACCGUGGGUAUCGCGCUCUUGGAUGGGCUCAUGCCCUAUCAGCUUGUUGGUGAGGUAACGGCUCACCAAGGCUUCGACGGGUAGCUGAUCUGAGAGGAUGAUCAGCCACACUGGCACUGCGACACGGGCCAGACUCCUACGGGAGGCAGCAGUAAGGAAUAUUGCGCAAUGGGCGAAAGCCUGACGCAGCGACGCCGCGUGGAGGAUGAAGGCCCUUGGGUUGUAAACUCCUUUUGUCGGGGAAGAAAUGCGAUCAGGUGAACAAUCUGGUCGUUUGACGGUACCCGGCGAAUAAGCUCCGGCUAACUCCGUGCCAGCAGCCGCGGUAACACGGGGGGAGCAAGCGUUGUUCGGAAUCACUGGGCGUAAAGGGCGUGUAGGCGGUUGAGUAAGUGGGAUGUGAAAUGCCUCGGCUUACCCGGGGACCUGCAUCCCAAACUGCUCGGCUUGAGUACGGGAGAGGAUGAGGGAAUUCCUGGUGUAGCGGUGAAAUGCGUAGAUAUCAGGAGGAACACCGGUGGCGAAGGCGCUCAUCUGGCCCGAUACUGACGCUGAUGCGCGAAAGCUAGGGGAGCGAACGGGAUUAGAUACCCCGGUAGUCCUAGCCGUAAACGGUGAGCACUAGGUGUUGGAGGCAUCGACCCCUCCAGUGCCGCAGCUAACGCAUUAAGUGCUCCGCCUGGGGAGUACGGCCGCAAGGUUGAAACUCAAAGGAAUUGACGGGGGCCCGCACAAGCGGUGGAGCAUGUGGUUUAAUUCGACGCAACGCGAAGAACCUUACCCAGACUUGACAUGCAUUGGACAGGUGUGGAAACACACUCUCCCUUCGGGGCCGGUGCACAGGUGCUGCAUGGCUGUCGUCAGCUCGUGUCGUGAGAUGUUGGGUUAAGUCCCGCAACGAGCGCAACCCUUGUCCUUAGUUGCUAACGGGUAAAGCCGAGCACUCUAAGGAGACUGCCGGUGAUAAACCGGAGGAAGGUGGGGAUGACGUCAAGUCCUCAUGGCCCUUACGUCUGGGGCUACACACGUGCUACAAUGGCUGGCACAAAGGGUUCCGAUACCGCGAGGUGGAGGCAAUCCCAAAAAGCCGGUCUCAGUUCGGAUUGCAGUCUGCAACUCGACUGCAUGAAGUCGGAAUCGCUAGUAAUCGCUGAUCAGCAGGCAGCGGUGAUACGUUCCCGGGCCUUGCACACAC
rnacentral:rRNA from 1 species